CUUGAUGGCAAUUUGUUUUAUAGCCGACCUUGCCUCAGUGGACUCUCCAAGCUUAAAAUGUUAGAUUUGAGUUAUUGCAAAGAUCUUCUUGAAAUCCCAGAUUUACCUACAAGUUUGGAAAUCUUGAAAGCAAAUCAGUGCAUUGCAUUGAAAAAAUGCCAAAUUUUUCAGAAAUGUCGAGUAUGGUAGAACUCCCCACUUAGUGGGAAAAGACUUUGUUGUUGUUGUUGUCGAGUAUGGUAGAACUGCAUCUGAAUUACUCCCCCAAACUCACUGUGAGAUUCUAGGCUAGCAUAAGUCGUUAAACACUAUGAGAAGGAUUCAUAUGGAAGGCUGCACCAAUCUCACUGCUGAUUUUAGGAAGAGCAUGCUACAGGUCUCUCUCACUCUCUCUCUCUCUCUCUCUCUCUCACACACACACACACACACACACAUAGAUCCACACAUACACGCCUAAGACAUGCAUGUAUUUCUUAUGCAUAAGAAUGACAUGUACAUUCUGAGUUUUAGGAAGAACAUCCUACAGAUCUCUCUCUAAGAGCUGUAUUCUCCUCCUCUUUCUAUCACAUGCCCACAGAGGACCUGUACUGUACAUGUACAUGACACACGCAUGCAUAAUUAAGGCUAUUGCUUAUACAAAUUAAUCGGGCUUUACAUGGUAUGCUCUAGGGAUGGACUUCUUGCGGACAUAGUGACAUUUUUCUCGAUGGAAUUUAUGAUAUUCCGGAGUGGUUCCAGUUUGUUGUUAUUCAUGAGCCCAAAAAUGUUCAUUUUAAAGUGCCUCAAUUUAUUGGUCAUAAUUUUAGAGGAUUGACUCUGUGCUGUGUUUUCGAAACAUAUCGUCCUGGAUUAACUGUUACAAAUUUACAAAGGGUAAGGCUUUGCACAUCUGGGGAGAUUCUACUUCCAGUGUAGCUAACAGUGUACUCCGUUUGCAAAGUGUAUUAUCAAAUGAUGUACUCCAUUUGCAAAGUGGGGACGAAGUCUCGAUUUCUGCAGUUACAGAGGCUCAUGGGAGAGGGAGACUGAUGAAAACAGGAGUUAAUCUAUUCUGGGAUGAUGGUGAUGGCGGUGACGCAUCUCUAGCAAUGACGAGAUUGGUGCCGUACCGAGCAAUACUUCAUCUGACGAGACUCUUCCAUCUCCCUCAGUCCACACUGACGGUUGUCCGCCCAUGGCUCCGAUCUCAAAAAGCGUGUGAAGGAGGCGUUCAUCUAGAACCCCUUCGAGUUGGCCGUAGCAUCUGUCAAGCCAAAAUACAGGCAUGAAUUCUACCAGAAGCCAGAAGUGGUUGUUGUGACUAUAUUCACCAAGGGCAUGGCAGACGUUAAUGUUGAAUUUGGUGAACAAAUACUCAGUGUUAGCAUUGAUGUUGCUGGUGAAGAUGCAUACUAUUUUCAGCCUCGCUUAUUUGGAAAGAUAAUACCUACAAAGUGCAGAUUUGACGUUCUGUCCACCAAAGUUGAAAUUCGCCUGGCUAAAGCUGAACCAUUACACUGGACAUCUCUUGAAUUCAGCAAGGACAACUCUGUUCCACUAAGGGUCAGUGGUCCAGUUGUUGGGGUGUCAAGUCCAGACUACCCAUCCCCGAAACCUAUCACAACCUCGUAUGCGUCUCCAACUAAAAGAAAACUAGUUAAACACAGACCAAGAUGGCAACAAAAACUAACCUUUUUUCCAAUAGAAAACAAAUGAAUUUAUGAUGGUUCUAUUUGAACCUCAAAUCUGCUUCUAUUUUUUUCCAAUUCAAAAUUAUUUUUUUGAGCCCCCUUUC